rnacentral:lncRNA from 1 species
UUUGUGGUUCUCAUAAAAUUAUACGAAAUUUACAAUAUUGUAUGUUUACAUGCAAUUUCUCUAUGUGCAUGAACACUUAUGUGGAGGGGGUGGGUCGGGUUUGGGAAGAUCGGUGGAUGUAGAGCCUGAAUCGGAAAUCACGUUGGUAAAAUCAGGUAAUCUUUUUCUAAGAUUUUUCAAUUUUAAUGUGUUUUGGUUUCUAGGUAGUACUUUGUUUUAGUUUUUCUUGUUUCGAAUUCAUGAUCGCUGACUGGUGUUUAUGUGAUAAUUAAAUUAUGUAAAUCUUCAUUUCUGGACUGUUUUUAACUGGGUUUCUUUGGGGGAAGUUUCAAUUUGACUAUAGAAGAUAUUCCCUAAUUUUUUUGCUCAGAUCUGACUCUGAUUUAGGUAAUUUACAUUAGGUUUCUUUUGGGGAAGUUUCAAUGUGCCUAUAGGAUAACGUCAUUAUCAUUGAAUGUGGAAAUUUGUCAAUGUCUUACAGUUAAUUGUGAUGCCCAUGACGAGAUGUGCAUUUUUUUUCCAUUACACUUAUGUGUUUUGUCAAUUAAACUCCAGACCAACUACUACUUAUCACCUAAGUUCCUAAAAUUCGUGUUUGUUAUAUGUUGUAGGAAAUGACCUAUUUUGAGAUAUUUUUUUGCAUCUCUCUUUUAUUCUACAUUCGAAAGAGGUAGAGUCGCAUUAUUGGGACUGUGGAUUGCUUUUUUCAUGUGUUAAUCUGUGUGAAGAUUGAUUGCCAUGCAUGAAGAAAUUAAAAAUGUUACUAAAGUGUCUGGCAAAAGUCAUUAUGUUUCAAUCACGGACGAGUGCAUGUAUACAUAGCAGAAUUACACCAAUUAAUAUGUGGGAGGAAGGAUAUAUAGCAUCUGAUCUGGUAAAGAAAAGGAAUCAUGAUUUAAAAAUUUGGAAGCCAUUACAUACUCAUUCUUGCUGCUCUGUGUAAAUGAUGUCACCUUCAUUUUCAAUAGCUUCUUGGUAGUCUAAAUUUAUAGUUCAUUUUUUCAGCGAUAUCCAAUGUGAUAAUGUAUUUUACUGCUUGAUAUAUUUCUUACUCGUGGUCAUUUUUUAGAGGCUGUCAGAGCAGGGGAUGUCAAUACUGUGUUUUUUGUGGUGGUUGAAGGUUGUUUGGCGUCCGAUGAAUUCAAAUGGUAUUAGGAAUUAUUGGUUUCAUUAUCUGUAUGAAUCAGUUUGUAGAACUAAAUCAUAAAAGCUUGUUUUUGCCCUACCCAUAGUUUAAUUGCCUGAACUACAAGAUAUUGAUAUUUUGGUGGAUUGAUUGGAUGGUAUCUUUAGAAGAUAUACAAAUGCUUUUAUCAAUCUCUGCAAGGAGAAAUGGCUUGAGGGGUUUGCUGGUUUGCAUUAUAGUUAUACUAUGUCUUCUUGGAAUUGUAUAUAAGAUGCACUUUUUUCUUUAAUUAUUCUUACUAAAGACUAAAGAGUACCGGCUUUUGUUUGUGUUUGUCUUUGUUACCAG